rnacentral:rRNA from 1 species
GACGAACGCUGGCGGCGUGCUUAACACAUGCAAGUCGAACGGAAAGGCCCUGCUUUUGUGGGGUGCUCGAGUGGCGAACGGGUGAGUAACACGUGAGUAACCUGCCCUUGACUUUGGGAUAACUUCAGGAAACUGGGGCUAAUACCGGAUAGGAGCUCCUGCUGCAUGGUGGGGGUUGGAAAGUUUCGGCGGUUGGGGAUGGACUCGCGGCUUAUCAGCUUGUUGGUGGGGUAGUGGCUUACCAAGGCUUUGACGGGUAGCCGGCCUGAGAGGGUGACCGGCCACAUUGGGACUGAGAUACGGCCCAGACUCCUACGGGAGGCAGCAGUGGGGAAUAUUGCACAAUGGGCGGAAGCCUGAUGCAGCAACGCCGCGUGCGGGAUGACGGCCUUCGGGUUGUAAACCGCUUUCGCCUGUGACGAAGCGUGAGUGACGGUAAUGGGUAAAGAAGCACCGGCUAACUACGUGCCAGCAGCCGCGGUGAUACGUAGGGUGCGAGCGUUGUCCGGAUUUAUUGGGCGUAAAGGGCUCGUAGGUGGUUGAUCGCGUCGGAAGUGUAAUCUUGGGGCUUAACCCUGAGCGUGCUUUCGAUACGGGUUGACUUGAGGAAGGUAGGGGAGAAUGGAAUUCCUGGUGGAGCGGUGGAAUGCGCAGAUAUCAGGAGGAACACCAGUGGCGAAGGCGGUUCUCUGGGCCUUUCCUGACGCUGAGGAGCGAAAGCGUGGGGAGCGAACAGGCUUAGAUACCCUGGUAGUCCACGCUGUAAACGGUGGGUACUAGGUGUGGGGUCCAUUCCACGGGUUCCGUGCCGUAGCUAACGCUUUAAGUACCCCGCCUGGGGAGUACGGCCGCAAGGCUAAAACUCAAAGGAAUUGACGGGGCCCCGCACAAGCGGCGGAGCAUGCGGAUUAAUUCGAUGCAACGCGUAGAACCUUACCUGGGUUUGACAUGGAUCGGGAGCGCUCAGAGAUGGGUGUGCCUCUUUUGGGGUCGGUUCACAGGUGGUGCAUGGCUGUCGUCAGCACGUGUCGUGAGAUGUUGGGUUAAGUCCCGCAACGAGCGCAACCCUUGUUCACUGUUGCCAGCACGUUAUGGUGGGGACUCAGUGGAGACCGCCGGGGUCAACUCGGAGGAAGGUGGGGAUGACGUCAAGCCAUCAUGCCCCUUAUGUCCAGGGCUUCACGCAUGCUACAAUGGCUGGUACAGAGAGUGGCGAGCCUGUGAGGGUGAGCGAAUCUCGGAAAGCCGGUCUCAGUUCGGAUUGGGGUCUGCAACUCGACCUCAUGAAGUCGGAGUCGCUAGUAAUCGCAGAUCAGCAACGCUGCGGUGAAUACGUUCCCGGGGCU